AGGAAUGGUGCUGGGAAUGAGGAAGGAAUGAAGCGGGAAUGAGGCAGGAAUGGCACUGGGAAUGAAGCUGGGAAUGAGGUGGGAAUGAUGCGGGAAUGGCCCUUCCCGGGGCGGGAGAAGGGGAAGACAAAGCUCUGGGAUCCGCCCCCUGCUCCCUCCAGCCCUUCCCGAAACCUCAGGGCGGGAAAACCGGGAAACAACCCACGAUUUUUUUUUCCCCCCAAAGAACCCUUUUUUCCCCCUCCCUCCCCCCUGAGGAAUUCGGUUGGAAUUUCGGGAAUUACAAGGAGGAAAAGGCCGGAGAGAUCCCGUGGGAGGAAAGGCAGGGAGCGGCCCCGGGGGGCAUUCCCGGCUGGAAUUCCGGGGGUUUUCCCAGCCUGGCUCCCGCUCUCACCUGCGCUCAGAGCGGCUCCUGCCCCGCAUCCCGACUGGCCUCCAGGAGCAGCUCCUCCAGCUCCUGCUCGUCCUUGGAGCAGCUCAGCUCUGCCGGGAUACACGGACACGGCGUCACUCCCACGUUUUCCUGCCUUUUCCAGACACAUUCCUGGCUUUUCCUGCCUUUCCCAGCCUCGUUCCUGCCUUUUUCCAGCCUCAUUCCUGGCUUUUCCCACCUUUCCCAGCCUCGUUUCCAGCUUUUCCCGCCUUUCCCAGCCUCAUUCCUGGCUUUUCCUGCCUUUCCCAGCCACAUUCCUGCCUUUUCCUGCCUUUCCCAGACCCAUUCCCGGCUUUUCCUGCCUUUCCCAGCCUCGUUCCUGCCUUUUCCCAGCCUCAUUCCCGCCUUUUCCUGCCUUUCCCAGCCACAUUCCUGCCUUUUCCUGCCUUUCCCAGCCUCGUUCCUGCCUUUUCCCAGUCUCAUUCCUGCCUUUUCUUGCCUUUUCCCAGCCUCAUUCCCAGCUUUUCCCACCUUUCCCAGACCCAUUCCCGCCUUUUCCUGCCUUUCUCAGCCUCGUUCCCGGCAAUUCCUGCCUUUCCCAGCCUCAUUCCUGCCUUUUCCCACCCUCAUUCCUGGUUUUCCCACCUUUCCCAGCCUCAUUCCCGCCUUUUCCCGACUUUCUCAGCCUCAUUCUCACCUUUCCCACCCUCAUUCCUGGCUUUUCCCACCUUUCCCAGCCUCGUUUCCACCUUUUCCCACCUUUCCCAGCCUCGUUUCCACCUUUUCCCACCUUUCCCAGCCUCGUUUCCAGUUUUUCCCACCUUUCCCAGCCACAUUCCCGCCUUUUCCUGCCUUUCCCAGCCUCGUUCCUGCCUUUUCCCGGCCACAUUCCCUCCUUUUCCUGCCUUUCCCGGCCACAUUCCCUCCUUUUCCUGCCUUUCCCAGCCUCAUUCCUGGCUUUUCCCAGCCACAUUCCCUCCUUUUCCCGCCUUUCCCAGCC
rnacentral:lncRNA from 1 species